ACUCUGUUAUGCUUUAUGUUUUUUAAAUCCAUUAGUAUAUGUUAUGAACAUGAAACAAGUCACGCAACGUGCGCCAAAAGGACAUAAGUACCCGCGGCAGCGUUCGGACAUUCUCACUAUUUCUUCUUAUGAUAUAUGUCAAUAUUUAGAGGCCAUUGGACUUUGUUUACCGGUUUAAAGCCAAGGGAAGUUAUUAUUUGCUCUGAUCAUUUAGGAGGAUGGUUUCAUCAGGCCCCUACUUUCUUUAUGUUACAUAUACAAUGGCAUGCACUUGAUGAGAUAAAUGCUGGUGUAUGCGACGGUAUGACUUAUGAAGAAAUAAAGAAGAAUAUGCCUGAUGCAUCUGAGUAUGUUUAAUACGAAACUGUCAAUUUUUUAUUUGUAUUUUUUUUACCAAGUAUGAGUAGUUUCUAUACAUUUUCAUUUAAACGGUCUUUUGUUUAAUUUUAUGAAGGCCAAGGAAGAAAGAUAAACUUAGGCUUCGAUAGCCUUGUGGAGAGUCAUCUAAUGAUGUAAUACAAAGGUUGGAGCCAUUUCUUACAGAGCUUGAACGGCAAAGUGCACCCGUCGUAGUUGUAUCUUACCAGGCUAUUCUAAAAGCUUUACAUGCUUAUUUUGCUGAUAGGCCAUCGAAAGAAGUUCCACACACGGAGGUAACCAACAUAUUAGAUCAAUCAUUUCAGUUUUGUAACCUUAGAAAACACCAUUAAUGCAUUUUUUUUUUUUGUCAGAAUUAGAUCAAUCAUUUCAGUUAUCCUCCAUUUUUUAUUUAAGAAAAAAAAAACAUCAUAAUUAAUUGAGCUAUAAUGUUUGUAACUGUUCUCAUGGCUUUACAUCAUAUUUGAGCCUUUGGAAAAAAAAUAAUGUUAAUUCAAUUGCCAAAAACUUCAAUAAAUUGGUAUGGAGAGACAUUGAUUAUUAUGUUGGAAAUGGUACGGAGGAAGGUGAGACUAGAAAUCCUCUGGGCAUUUAGAUUUGAAUACUAUGAACAUGUUUUACUAUAUCAUCUUGCACCUAAUUCGCUAUUUGAGAGAUUUGGUGAACAUACUGAAGGCACCUUAGGUAGUCAAUAUGGCGGCGCAGCUUGUUGCCCGUUUACCAACUAUUUCGAUGUGUAUUUUUCUCCUAUUUGAAUAAAACCGUAUUUAUUAAUCUUUUUGGCAUUUCUAAUUUCCUUCUUCUAUAUGGGUUAA